rnacentral:lncRNA from 1 species
CCUCAAUUGCUAAUAACAAAAAGUUGAGUUUCUGAAUAUAAAUGGAAUAAAGUAGCAUCAGCAUUAUUAAAUGUAGUGAAAUGAGUGGCAAAAACAUGAUAAGUAGCUAAAAUCUCAGAUUUUACUGUUUGUGCCCAAAAUUUCUAUCAUUUACACAUAUAACAGCAAAAUCAAAAUACAUAAUAUGUUCAAUUGAACAUGUUCAAUGUCAGUAAGAUAACAAAAUUAUAUUUCAUAGUGAAUAUACAAUUAGGAUAAGAAAAAACUAUAAAAACAAUAAAAAAAAAUUACAGUGAUGAAAUCAUACCAGGUUUAGUUAGAAUAUCACAAAGGCAGCAUAUAAAAGGAAGAAAAACCAAAAGAAUGAGUGGAACUGAAAUUGAUAGAUAAAGACACCCUCACAAUUACAUAAUCCUAAGCAUCAAGUACAUAACCAGAAUCUAGAAGCAUAAAAAAGACACUGCACUAUCUGGUUAAGACACAAAUGACAAGAGUCGAAACACGAUUUACAGCACAAGAGGCAAAAUAAACAGAACAAGUGAAGGAACCAACAACUUAAACACACCCCUGAAUUAGUAAUACAUAAAUCUAAUGUUGUUUUCACUAAAUCUAUAACUAAAAAAAGACAGAAAUUAGAAUGUUAAGAGUCCCACAUCGGUUGCGAGAUGGCCUAAAUGAAUGUUUAUAAGCAAGAUGCAAUCUUCACUUUACAAGCCGGUUUUGUAAGAAUGAGUUAGGCUCAAUACUCAAUUCUAAGAUGGUAUCAGAGCCUCUCUACGAUCCGUUGGGCCACCUGUUAUCAGGUUUCCGCUAUCGGGCCACCUACCGUUUAUAUCCACGCACCAAGCCCAAUAGUGUUGGGCGUGAGGGGGUGUGUUAAGAGUCUCACAUCGGUUGAGAGAUGGCCUGACUAAGUGUUUAUAUACUAGAGGCAAUCCUCACCUAAGAUAGAGACUGCACAAGAAUAUAGCUAUGAAAAUAACAAGUUCACAAAAGAAAAACAUUGGAAAAAAGAAUAGAACUUUAUUUUGAAGCUAAAGAGCACCACACCAAGAAAGAAAUCACUCAGAUAUAACUUGUUAUAGUGGACAAUACUUAAAAUUACACCAAAAUCAACAUAGCAAAAAGAAAGACAUAAUCUAUCAGUUUCCAAACGAUUGCAUCAAAACACCAUAAUCUUGAAAAACAACCAAAGCCUCCAGAUUCAAAACAGAAUGUCUCAUAUAAAGAUAAUAGCUAUAUAUAAGCUUCAUGUUUCAUCCAAUUCCAAAUCCAUGACAAACCCAGGUCACUUACAAAACUACAUCAAAAGACAAUCAGUUCAUAAAUCCAAUCCAAUCUUUUGCAAAACAUCAACUACAUAUGAUAUGAUUCAAAACAAAACUUCCAUACAUAACUUGAUCUUUUCCUUCCCUCUUUUCUAAACUGCAUAAUUUAUUAACACAUAUUCACUCCGUUCUUUUUUAAGUGUCGUUUUUAUCACUGCUGCACACAUUCCAAUGCAUAAAUUUAAUCAUAGUAUCUUUAAUUAUCUAUUAUAAAAAAAAAUAUGAAAAUUUUAUAUUUUGAAAAUAUUUGUACUUAUUUGCUAAUAUUUGGGUUUAUAUAUCAUGGUCAAAGUAGAUUAUGUGAACAGUGCAAUCCAAAACGACACUUAAAAAGGAAUGGCGAGAGUAUAUUGUUAUGAAAAAAGACAUAAUUUAUUAAGACAACUUAUUGGGGGUAAUUUUUUAAUUAGGGUUUUCAACUAUAGGCAAAAAAUUGUAGAAAUUUGAGUACGUGAUACGGAGAAAAGCAUACCUCUGAAGACGAGAGAACGUGAAUAGUGACUGGAGGUGUGAGAACGUGAGGUGAAGAAGG